rnacentral:rRNA from 1 species
UACCAGCACCCCGAGUGGUCGGGACGAUUAUUGGGCCUAAAGCAUCCGUAGCCGGUUCUACAAGUCUUCCGUUAAAUCCACCUGCUUAACAGAUGGGCUGCGGAGGAUACUAUAGAGCUAGGAGGCGGGAGAGGCAAGCGGUACUUAAUGGGUAGGGGUAAAAUCCGUUGAUCCAUUGAAGACCACCAGUGGCGAAGGCGGCUUGCCAGAACGCACUCGACGGUGAGGGAUGAAAGCUGGGGGAGCAAACCGG